rnacentral:rRNA from 1 species
AUGUGUCUAGUCAAUUUCACAUGUGCGUCCUUUGUAAUGAUGCGACGACAAAGGCGAUCUUGUUGUCACAUCAAAGGUAUCCAGUACCUAACUACCCAAUCCAUACAAUCCAAGUGGCUGGUCUUGAGCAUUCCACUUGUCCUUUUCUCUACUGCUAUGUUGAAACUUUGCACCAGAAUUGCUGACCAGGAAAACGUGAUGACCAGAAGCAUCUCAAAAUCUAAUCAAUUUGGUUUCUGCGAAGAAACGUCGAACUUUUGGAGUAGAUCGCUAUAUAAAAAGUCCCCUUUUGUAAUCUUCUCCCCGUAA